GAUGAAGAACGCAGCGAAAUGCGAUAAGUAAUGUGAAUUGCAGAAUUCAGUGAAUCAUCGAGUCUUUGAACGCACAUUGCGCCCCCUGGUAUUCCGGGGGCAUGCCUGUCCGAGCGUCAUUGCCGCCCUCAAGCACGGCUUGUGUGUUGGGCCCCCGCCCCCCGGCUUCGGGGGGCGGGCCCGAAAGGCAGCGGCGGCACCGCGUCCGGUCCUCGAGCGUAUGGGGCUUCGUCACCCGCUCUGUAGGCCCGGCCGGCGCCCGCCGGCGACCCCAAUCAAUCUUUCCAGGUUGACCUCGGAUCAGGUAGGGAUACCCGCUGAACUUAAGCAUAUCAAUAAGCGGAGGA
rnacentral:misc_RNA from 1 species